CGUGUAUAUUGAAGGGAAGAUCACCUUCGUCAAUUCUCUCGAAGGAAGACAGCAACUUUGCUCGGUGGGUUACGAGCUGGAUAAACAUUGCCAAAGAGCAAGAAUUGAAUUUACUACUGAACACAUGGCGUUGAAGGGAGUCUUAAGCCGAUCAAGGAUGGAAUGCCGCGUCGGAUGCGUUGAAAUGAUAAUCUUGAUGUUCGCGUUCAAUUUAGUUGGCAACCAGGACAUACUGUGUGCGUUAUAUUCUGGAAUGAGCUUGUCAAUAGAGUCCAGAAAGAUGACGACGUUUAAAUCCCUCUGCACAGAAUUGAGGACAUCGUGAAAAUACCUCUGGAGGUCUUUGCAGUCGUAAGGCAUGUCGGCGUGUGAUCGUCCGAGCGUGUGCAGCAGUUGAUGGCACAAUGUCAUCAGCACCUGUUUGAUAUCUGAACUCUUGGAUGUGUAGCCAAUGUAGCGCACUGCGCAGAUAGUCUUCCCGACUGAGUUAGAGAUGACCUUGAAUAGAUAAGUAAAAUGGAUUAAAUUCGAUAAAAGCAUCGAAUUUAUACAGACAAAAAUGGUCCACUGGUACAAUUUACCGAAUACAUGUAAAUGUUUAAUUUGAUGUUUUACUUAAUUAAUACAAUAACGUCCGCUGAUAUGAUAAGUUUACGAUGUACAUGUACAACGAUAAUAUUGCGAUAUGCAAUACUUGUGAUGAUGAUGAUUGAUGAGGAUGAUGAUGAUGAAUGAUGAUAAUGAUGAUGAAUGAUGAUAAAUGAUGAUGAUGACGAUGAUGAUGAUAAAUGAUGAUGAUGAUUGUGAUGACGAUGAUGAUGAUGUAUGAUGAUGAUGAUGAUAUGUAAGCUGCAUUAUUACAUGUGACUAAUAAACUAAUUAUCAUCAUAAUUAAUCUGAUUAUUACAUAUGAUUACAACAAACCAUUUCAAAAAAACGUUAUGACUUAUACGAAAAUAUUUAAAUAUGGUACACACCUCUGUCGCCAUUUUGGAAAGAAGUGUCGAUUUUCCUGAACCGGAUUCGCCGUACACCACCAAGGGUUUAGACGUCGGUGCUGCAAGGUACUUCUUCACCUCACUUACAAGUUUAUCUUGACCAUAGAACGCUGCUGCUUUUCGUUUGCAGCACAACCAGUGUUGCAGAACUUCUUCGUAGAUAUCAGGAUCGACAUCGAACUUUGUCUUGGAAACAGUUUCGUCAACUAGUCUUUUGAGUGCGCUGUGAAAAUCGUCGCACAGCUUUUUCAGAUAUCUCAGCGAAGUCAGCCGCCUUUGUGUCGUCGACGUAGUUUUUCAGGUCAACAAUUGUUCUGGCCAAGAGGACGCAUCUCUUCUGUGGGUUGUCCGUUUCAUCAAUUGCUCGCUGGAUGCUGAUGUCGUGAGCUGAAUACACACGAAAUUGCUUAAAUAAAAUAUGGGCUAUUUAGAACGGGUUGUAACAUGUAUUAUAAAACAUUAUCUAAAAUAACUUUAAAAAUGAAUUAAAAUCCUAAAGCAACUAUAGAUGAUAAGUAAUUGUAUAUACCAGAACAACAUUCUUUUGCAAGUAUGUUAUUCAUCAUAUACAAUUUUUAAUGAAAUGACCAACAAUUUAAAGAACAAAUAUCGAAUUAAUAUGUAAUGGAAUAGACACUGGUUGAAUGCCAGAAAAAAAACACAAAGCGUUCACCGAGAGCAAAAUGAGUGCAGCCUAUGCACAUUUGUUGCUAGGUCCUGUUGGUUCUUCUUUCAAUGACCACCUUAUAUUGCAUGUUUUACUCACUAGAUGAUGUGUAUUUCUGUUUCGACUCCUGGUCUAUGUUGCCCUCGAGGUAGGCAAUUUCCGCAGCCCUCUGCAGCAGACGUCGCAACUCUU